AUCUCCGAUGUCUCCCCCUACUAGAUUUGUUGUUUUUCCUAACUACAUUUGCUCAUGAACCUCAUAAGUCACCCUGCUCACUAUUAGCUUCCUCAUGCGGGGCCUCAAUAACGCCAUCACCACCUCACCAUACAUCUCAAGGUCGUCGAAGCAACCAUCCCUCUAGACUUGGGAGAAAAUCUGAGGCUACAAUCAUCACCGGAGUACAGAUCUGACACACUUAGUAAGGUUAGAAUAGUUUUUUUCCUUUUCUAAACUUUUGGUCAAAGUGAUGUUUGACAAAUCUCAUAAGCAUUUUAUAACAAAGAUUUAUUGAUUUAGCGAAAACCGAUACCAAUCCUACAAUGUAGGUUCACUUGGCUACCUAUAAAACUUAACCGUACUUAUUAUUUGACUCUACAAUCCUAUAAAAUAGAAUUUGGCAUACAUUAGUGCAUACUUCAUACAAUUUAUAUCAUUUAUGUAUAUAAAAAAAAAGUUAUGCCUCCUCUAUAUUCCUCUUUCUUUAUUAAGACUAUCUUUUUUCUACUGAGUUUUACUUAAAUCUGAUCUCCAUCCUUUGACACCGCCAUAGUGACCCUUCUGAUCUUGCCUAGUACUGCCAAGUCAUAAUCAUUUACGCAUCAAUGUCUCCUAGCUUCUUGCCUCCUUUCUUCUUUCUUUUUUUUCCCAGCGUCCUUCCAUCUCCCAUUUCACUAAAUCAAUCCCUACGUUUGAAGAGAUGCCUAGGUUGAUCGGCGUCGAUGAGGUGAAAACAGGACAACAAGAUCAGGGGGGAGAAUGUUGGAUUUUUUUUUCUUUAGUGUCGUGUCGUGUACCAUGUUUCGCGACGUCUGAUGUGGCAUUUGUCGCUACUCGAGUGUGAUGUGGGGAUCAUGGCAUCAUGCCCACCUCGUUUUGUUACUUCUUAAAAUAGCAAAUCAAAGAUAAAAACCUAAAAGCAGUCGCUUUACCGCAGCACCAAACACCUUGUGUGCAUUACUCUGUUUUUUGGAACUUCAAUCUCAGUUCGAGGUAGAUUGCUAGGAUCCUAGUUUAAGUCCUGUAGCUCCACCACUUGACUAUAAUAAAGAAAGAUCACCGGAAGAGCGAACCUGACGUCUCAUGAAUUAGUUUUUUUUUAAAAAAAAACUCAUAAUUUUAUUUAUAUUUAUGAGGAUUAUAAAUAGAGUUGAAGGGAAAUAACAUCCCCAAUACCAAAGAAUAAAUUUUAUAAAAUUACGGAUACUUUGACUAAAUUAUCACAUCAU
rnacentral:lncRNA from 1 species